UACGGGGGGGGCAGGCGUUGUUCGGAAUUACUGGGCGUAAAGGCGCGUAGGCGGCCUUCUAAGUCGGACGUGAAAUCCCUCGGCUUAACCGAGGAACUGCGUCCGAUACUGAAAGGCUUGAAUCCGGGAGAGGGAUGUGGAAUUCCAGGUGUAGCGGUGAAAUGCGUAGAUAUCUGGAGGAACACCGGUGGCGAAGGCGGCAUCCUGGACCGGCAUUGACGCUGAGGCGCGAAAGCUAGGGAGCAAACGGG
rnacentral:rRNA from 1 species